UUGACCUCAAAUCAGGUAGGACUACCCGCUGAACUUAAGCAUAUCAAUAAGCGGAGGAAAAGAAACUAACAAGGAUUCCCCUAGUAACUGCGAGUGAAGCGGGAAAAGCUCAAAUUUAAAAUCUGGUAGUCUUUGGCUGCCCGAGUUGUAAUCUAGAGAAGCAUUAUCUGCGCUGGACUGUGUAUAAGUGUCCUGGAAUAGACCAUCAUAGAGGGUGACAAUCCCGUCUUUGACACAGACUCCCAGUGCUUUGUGAUGUGCUCUCAAAGAGUCGAGUUGUUUGGGAAUGCAGCUCUAAAUGGGUGGUAAGUUCCAUCUAAAGCUAAAUAUUGGCGAGAGACCGAUAGCGAACAAGUACCGUGAGGGAAAGAUGAAAAGAACUUUGUAAAGAGAGUUAAACAGUACGUGAAAUUGCUGAAAGGGAAACGCUUGAAGUCAGUCGCGUUGGCUGGGGAUCAACCAUUGCUUUUGCUUGGCUUACUUCCCAGUUGACGAGUCAGCAUCAGUUUUGACCAGUGGAUAAAGGCUAGGGGAAUGUGGCACCUCCGGGUGUGUUAUAGCCCUUGGUCAUAUACAUUGAUUGGGACUGAGGAACUCAGCACUUUAAGUGCUUAGGAUGCUGGCAUAAUGGCUUUAAGCGACCCGUCUUGAAACACGGACCAAGGAGUCUAACAUGCCCGCAAGUGUUUGGGUGGAAAACCCAAGCG
rnacentral:rRNA from 1 species